GGCGGGGAGCGGCGCGGGAGGGGGGACGGGGCGCGACGGCAGCGGCCGCGACGCCGCGGGGCAUGACGGGACUUGUAGGCGGCGGCGGCCCGGGCAGCGCGGGAGGAGGCGGAGGCGGCCCCAGCUGGAGCCGGAGCCGGGUCCUCUUCUGCCAGGCCGGGGAUCCGGAGCUCUCCGCCGGCCAGGGCCGUUCCACCGCCCUGCUCCGGGGAGUCCCCGUCCGUAAAGUCCCUGCAACUUCAGCCACCUGUUGCCGGACAGUGAACCGCGCGAUUUGCAAGCAAAUUAAGGAGUCUCUCUCUUAGUAAAAGUCUGUUCAAAUCAUGUUGCUGAGACCUGCAUGAACAGAUAGCAGCAGCAUCCAGUAAUAAUGUAGGAAAAAAUCUACAUGGCUGAAGACUACUCUGACUGAUGUCAACAAAAGUUAUCCAUAGCCCUGCUUCCACCUCUUAGCCCUGCUUCCACCUCUUCUUUAAUCUGAAAUACUGUGCUCCUCUUGGAAUGGGAAGGCGAGAAGAAGAUGCUGGGCUAAAGAGAGAGAUAUUUUCCUGUUAUUGAAUAGUAACAGGGCUUGAGUUUGCAGUUUUAUGUGCACCUCUGUAGCAAUGUUACCUUGAAUAUGUUUCCAAGAGCUGAGAAGAAGUCUUAGAGCAAAAGGCAAUGGAUAAAUCAGAAGGAUGUGCAGCAUUGCAUAGAAGGGUACUGAAGUACAUUCAACUGCAGAAGUGAGAGAGACCAUACAUAUGAGAAACCAAGAGGGCUGCACUGCUUUAAUUGUGCAUAAAAAUGGAGCAGUCUUUGCCCUAAGAUCUCCUGCAACACAUGCAGGUCAGCAUCAUGUGCACCAGAAGGGAACAGACUGUAAAGCAAUUGGCCUGAAUUCAAGAAUUUUAUAUUGCUGAAGGUUUGAUUACAAGUGUUUUAUAAUCUCAGCAUUUUGAAAUGUUUAAUUUUGGUAAUUCAUAUUAUAAAAUGUGAAAGGAAGCUAAAGAAUGCUGAACAAAUUAUAAGCCAAAGUGUAUUUGCUAUUGCUUAUUUUUUCUGCAUUUGAUGUUGCA